CUUCGGCCCGAGUUGUAAUUUGCAGAGGAUGUUUAUGGUGCGGUACCUUCCGAGUUCCCUGGAACGGGACGCCACAGAGGGUGAGAGCCCCGUCUGGUUGGAUACCAAACCUGUGUUAAACUCCUUCAACGAGUCGAGUAGUUUGGGAAUGCUGCUCUAAAUGGGAGGUAAAUCUCUUCUAAAGCUAAAUACCGGCCAGAGACCGAUAGCGCACAAGUAGAGUGAUCGAAAGAUGAAAAGCACCUUGAAAAGGGGGUUAAACAGUACGUGAAAUUGUUAAAAGGGAAGCGUUUAUGACCAGACUUGUGUCGUGUGGCUCAUCCGAGGUUCUCCCCGGUGCACUCCACACGGCUCAGGCCAACAUCGGUUCUCGUUGGGGGAUAAGAACAGUAGGAACGAGCCC
rnacentral:rRNA from 1 species